GCCAAAUAGCUAGCCUGAACGCAACAAUAAACCUCAAAUAUAGAUAAACAAAGUCCCCGCACGUACUAAAACAUUUUACCCCCUAAGUAUAGGCGAUAGAAAAGGCCCUCAGAGCAAUAGAAAAAGUACCGUAAGGGAAAGCUGAAAAAGAAAUGAAACAACCCAACAAAGCAAAGAAAAGCAGAGGCUAAAACUCGUACCUUUUGCAUCAUGAUUUAGCAAGCAACCCCAAGCAAAGAGAACUUAAGUUUGACCCCCCGAAACCAGGAGAGCUACUCCGGGGCAGCCCAAAGGGGCAAACCCGUCUCUGUGGCAAAAGAGUGGAGAGACCCCCGAGUAGAGGUGACAAGCCUACCGAGCCUGGUGAUAGCUGGUUGCUCGGGAAAUGAAUGUUAGUUCAGCUUUAUGUGAUCCUAACCUUACAUACAAAAGACAAGCAAAACAUAAAAGUUAGUCAAAAGAGGUACAGCCCUUUUGAAAAAGGAUACAACCUUCCCCAGGAGAACAAGGAUCAAAUAAGCCUAAGGCACCUUCCCCAGUGGGCCUAAAAGCAGCCACCUGUAAAGACAGCGUUAAAGCUCAAGCAAAGAAUACCCGACAAUAAUAAUAAACAAAUCCCAACUCCCUAUAAUUACCGAGCCCCUCUAUAAACUUAUAGAGAAGACUAUGCUAGAAUUAGUAAUAAGAGGCCCCAACCCUCUCCUCGCACAAUCGUGAGUCAGGCAGGAACAACCACUGACAACUAACGGGCCCUAAUGAGGGAAUAGCAAAGAAACUAUAACUCAGACAAGAAAACUCUGCCCCAACCACCGUCAACCCGACACAGGAGUGCGAUAAGGAAAGACUAAAAGGGGGAGAAGGAACUCGGCAAACUUAAACCCCGCCUGUUUACCAAAAACAUCGCCUCUUGCUAACAAUGAAGUAUUAGAGGUCCCGCCUGCCCUGUGACAGCAGUGUUUAACGGCCGCGGUAUUUUAACCGCGCGAAGGUAGCGUAAUCACUUGUCUUUUAAAUGGAGACCUGUAUGAAUGGCAUAACGAGGGUUUGACUGUCUCCUCCCCCCAGUCAAUGAAAUUGAUCUGCCCGUGCAGAAGCGGGUAUAACAACAUAAGACGAGAAGACCCUAUGGAGCUUUAGGCAAAUAAUCAAGCACAUACAACCCAAGCACCAAACAAAGCCAGGGAAACAAAAACCGCUGAUUAACCUGCCUUCGGUUGGGGCGACCAUGGAAGAAAGAAAAACCUCCAAGUGGAACGGGAAAACCCUUCAACCAAGAGACACAACUCCAAGUACCAGAAAAUCUGACCAACAAUGACCCAGGAUACCCCUGAUCAACGAACCAAGUUACCCUAGGGAUAACAGCGCAAUCCUCUCCCAGAGUCCAUAUCGACGAGGGGGUUUACGACCUCGAUGUUGGAUCAGGACAUCCUAAUGGUGCAGCCGCUAUUAAGGGUUCGUUUGUUCAACGAUUAAUAGUCCUACGUGAUCUGAGUUCAGACCGGAGCAAUCCAGGUCGGUUUCUAUCUAUGAACCAACCUCCCCCUAGUACGAAAGGACCGGGGUAGGGGGGCCUACGGAAAAACAAGCCCCACCCCAAUGCACUGAAACCAUAUAAAGUGGAUAAUGGGGAAGAUUCAACUGUUAAAGAUAAUAACAC
rnacentral:rRNA from 1 species